GAUGAACGCUGGCGGCGUGCCUAAUACAUGCAAGUCGAGCGAACGGACGAUAAGCUUGCUUCUUUGAUGUUAGCGGCGGACGUGUGUGUAACACGUGGAUAACCUACCUAUAAUUCUGGGAUAACUUCGGGAAACCGGAGCUAAUACCGGAUAAUAUUUUGAACCGCAGUGUUCAAAAGUGAAAGACGGUGUUGCUGUCACUUAUAGAUGGAUCCGCGCUGCAUUAGCUAGUUGGUAAGGUAACGGCUUAUCAAGGCGACGAUGCAUAGCCGAACUGAGAGAGUGAUAGGCCACCUUAGAACGGGGCCGCGGACCAGACUACUGCGGGAGGCACCAGUAGGGAAUCUUACGCAGUGGGCGAGAGCAUGGCGGAACAACGCCGAGUGAGAGAUAGCAAUCUUGCGAUCGUAAAACUCUGUUAUUAGGGGAGAACAUAUGUGUAAGUAAAUGUGCACAUCUUGACGGUAACUAAUAAGAAAGCAACGGCUAACUACGUG
rnacentral:rRNA from 1 species